rnacentral:rRNA from 1 species
AAGUCUAAGGUUUCCUGAAAAAAGUUAAUCCGUUCAGGGUUAGUCAGGGCCUAAGGUGAGGCCGAAAGGCGUAGCUGAUGGACACACGGUUAAUAUUCCGUGACUACCUUAAGUCGAUAAAGACCGAUGGGGGGACGCAGACCGUAAGCUCGGAGGCGCGUUGGUGUCAAAUCCGAGUGAAGGGAGAUCCGGAGUGGUAAAUCCGCCGGGCCUCUGCCUGAAAAAUCCUCUAAGGAGAUUUAAGGUACCUGUACCACAAACAGACACAUGUGGACGAGAUGAGUAUUCUCAGGCGCUCGGGUGAUGGGUUGUUCAGGAACUAGGCAAAUUAACCCCGUAACUUCGGGAGAAGGGGUGCCUCCAGCAAUGGAGGUCGCAGUAACGCGCAUCAGGCGACUGUUUAACAAAAACACAGGUCUCUGCAAAGUCAAAAAAACGGCGUAUAGGGGCUGACGCCUGCCCGGUGCCGGAAGGUUAAAAGGAGGGGUUAGUCGCAAGGCGAAGCUCUGAAUUGAAGCCCCGGUGAACGGCGGCCGUAACUAUAACGGUCCUAAGGUAGCAAAAUUCCUUGUCGGGUAAGUUCCGACCUGCACGAAUGGCGUAACGAUCUGAUGACUGUCUUAACAACCUGCCCGGCGAACUUGUGGUUCCGGUGAAGACGCCGGAUGCCCGCCACAAGACGGAAAGACCCCGUGCACCUUUACUACACCCUAUCAGUGAAUUAUGGGUUGUGCUGCGCAGGAUAGGUGAGAGGCUUUGAGACCGGUUUCUUGGAAUCGGUGGAGCCAAUGGUGAGAUACCACCCUGUGCAAUCUGUGAUUCUAACCUACUCCCGUUAUCCGGGAGAGGGACACUGAUAGGCGGGUAGUUUGACUGGGGCGGUCGCCUCCUAAAUUGUAACGGAGGCGCACGAAGCUAGGUUCAGGAGGUUUGGAAAUCCUCCUUCGAGUGCAAUGGCAUAAACCUGGUUAACUGCGAGACCAACAAGUCAAGCAGAUGCGAAAGCAGGUCAUAGUGAUCCGGUGGUUCUGUAUGGAAGGGCCAUCGCUCAACGGAUAAAAGGUACGCCGGGGAUAACAGGCUGAUCGGAGCCAAGAGUUCACAUCGACGCUCCGGUUUGGCACCUCGAUGUCGGAUCAUCGCAUCCUGGGGGUGUAGAAGCUCCCAAGGGUUAGGCUGUUCGCCUAUUAAAGCGGUACGUGAACUGGGUUCAGAACGUCGCGAGACAGUUCGGUCCCUAUCUGUGGUGGGCGCAGGAGAUUUGAGUGGAUCUGGCCGUAGUACGAGAGGACCCGGCUGGACGAACCUCUUGUGAUUCUGUUGUCAUACCAAUGGCAUAGCAGAGUAGCGAAGUUCGGUAGGGAUAAGCGCUGAAUGCAUAUAAGUGCGAAACCCGCCACAAGAUGAGAUCUCCCAAGCGCAAGCUAAUAAGGGCCGUGGAAGACUACCACGUUGAUAGGCUGGAUGUGUAAGCACAGUAAUGUGUUGAGCUUACCAGUACUAAUAGCCCGUUCGGCUUGACC